UACACGGCUCGUAUCUGAACGAUAAGCGUCGGCAAAACAAUUGGGACGGGGCUACCGGUGGGGACCCGGCGUUGCAGAUCUGGACAACGGCGCGGAGAGACACGGCGGUUACAGGUUCACGCGGCGGCCUUGGCUUCGACGGAGACAGAACCGGCUGAGACGGUUGGGCAGUGGCGGAAGAGCAACGGCGCCGCAGAUCUGGACUGGCAGCGGCGGUCUUGCUUCGCGGCGGGGCUGCAGACGGAAGAAGAAAAUGGAAGGAAAGGAUCGGCGGCUGGCUGCGGUUGGCUGCGGCGAACGGAGAGAAGGGGAAGGUGGGUGGGAGUCACGAUCGCACGGGGAAGAAGAAGGGAGAAAAGAAAAGAAAAAGAAAAAAAAGAAAAAAUAAUAAAGAAAUUUUUAAUAUUAAAGUAAAAAAAAUAAUAUAUAUAUAUAUAUAUUACCUUUUCUUUGGGCAUUACAUUCUUCCCUCCUUAAGAAACUUUCGUCCUCGAAAGUUUAAUCCUGAAAUAACUCUGGAUAACGAGUCCUCAUCUCUUCCUCUCGCUCCCAUGUCGCCUCUUCAUUCGAUGAUUCCGCCACAAAACUUUUACUAAUGGAAUGCUUCUAUUACGAAGCAUCUUUACCUCUCUAGCCAGAAUUCCACAGGUUGUUCUACAUAGCUCAAAUGCUCAUCAAUCUCCAAGGGUUCAUAGUCCACUACAUGAGAUGUAUCGGCCACAUACUUCCUCAACAUCGAAACAUGGAAAACAUUAUGAACUGCAGAGAGUGAUGGUGGUAAUGCCAAGCGAUACGCCACAACACCAACCCUCUCUAAGAUCUCAAAUGGUCCAACAAAACGAGGACUUAACUUCCUUUCUUCUCAAAACGCAUAACACCCUUCAUAGGUGCUACCUUCAAGAAUACCUUUUCUCCCACAUCGAACUUAAGGUCUUUUCGCCGUACAUCUGCAUAACUCUUCUGUCUACUCUGCGCUGUUUGCAUACGCGUCUAAUCUUUUGAAUAGCCUCAUUAGUAGACCGAACUAAUUCAGGUCCCAUCAAUCUAUGUUCACCAACCUCACUCCAACAAACAGGGGUUCUACAACAUUUGCCAUACAAAGCCUCAAAUGGUGCCAUACCGAUGGUAGCCUGGAAACUGUUGUUAUAAGCAAACUCCAUCAAAUGUAGAUGAGAGUCCCAACUACCUGGAAACUCUAUAACACAAGCUCGUAGCAUAUCCUCUAAAACUUGGUUCAAACGUUCAGUUUGACCAUCAGUCUGUGGAUGAAAGGCUGUACUAAAAUCCAAUCUCGUACCCAUAGCAGUCUGAAGUCCCUUCCAAAACUUGGAAGUAAACCGUGCAUCCCUAUCAGAAACAAUCGAUACAGGCACUCCAUGCAGUCUCACAAUCUCAGUUAAAUACAACUCUGCCCACUUACUAGCAGUAUAAGUGGAUUUCCUGGUACAAAAUGUGCCGAUUUCGUAAGCCUGUCUAUGACAACCAAAUCACUGUGAAACCCUUCAGGGUUCAGGUUUAGGCAGCCCUGAAAUAAAAUCCAUCGACACAUUCUCCCACUUCCACUCUGGCACACUUAAGGUUGUAACAAACCUGCUGUUUCUGUCUAGGUGCUUAACCUGCUAGCACACCAAGCACUUACUAACAAGAUUUCCAUUUCUCUCUUCAUAUUACGCUAGUAACAAACUCUUUUCAGAUCCGGAUACAUUUUUGUGCUACUUGGAUGCAUGAGAAAUGGGAAACUAUGAGUCUCAACCAAUAACCUUGUCUUAAUUGCAUUUUCUGUUGGCACACAAUUCUCUCUCAAACAUAAGUUCAUCAUCAAAGGAUAUGGAAAACUCCUUAACUUGCCCUACUUCUACUAGGUGAUGCUUCUCAAUCAAAUAAGGAUCAAUGAAUUGAACCACAAGAAUUCUUUGUCUCAAGAUCGGAUGUACUGACAACUGAGCUAACUGUGAGGUGACUUCCCCCACUGAAACUACAAUCUCAGCUCUCUCGUGGUUUUUGUCUAAUGAAACCUGUCUGGUAAUAAGUGCUGUCAAAAUGUGAUACUUUUCUACGAAGAGCACCAACUUCCACAUUCGCCUUACCUAGAUGGUACAAAAUCUCACAAUCAUAGUCAUUUACUAACUGAAACCAUCUUUGCUAUCUCAUACUCAACUUCUUUUGAGUGAAGAAGUAUUUUAUACUCUUUUGGUUAGAAAAUAUCUAUAUCUUUUCAUCAUACAUAUAGUGCCUUCAAAUCAUUAAUGUAAAAACCACAACUGUCAAUUCCAUAUCAUAAGUUGGACAAUUUUCCUCAUGACUCUUCAACUGACGAGGAGUACAAGCAACUACUUUAACUUGUUGAAUCGAAUACCUUUUAAACUUUCCUAAAAGCAUCACUAUAAAUUACGAAACUUUCUGAACCAUCAUGUACGGUAAGCACGGGAGUUGUACAAGCUUCGCUUAAGAUCCUGAACACUAUCCUCAUAGGCUUUGUCCCAAACAAACGGAGUCCCUUUUCUUAGUUAACUGAGUCAAAGGAGUAGCUAUACGAGAAAAUUCUUAUACAAACCGUCAGUAAUAACCUGCUGAACCCAAAAAGACUACGAACCUCACUGACUAUGAAAGGUUGAGGCCAACUGGUAACGACUUCAAUCUUUUAUGAGAUCCACAUAAAUGUCAUCUCUAGAUACCACAUGGCUUGGAAAGAUACUUGGCCUCAUCCAAAACUCACAUUUUGAAAACUUUGCAUACAAUUUGUUGACUCGAAGAGCCUCUAAAACCAUGUUAAAUGCUCCUCAUGCGCUGUCUCUAUUUUGGAAUAAAUUAAGAUAUCGUCAAUAAAUACAAUCACGAAAGUGUCUAAGAGAUCGUUAAACACUUUGUUCAUCAAGUCGUAAACAUUGUUUGAGCAUUUGCCAACUCAAAAGACAUCAUAAUGAACUCAUGAUGUCCAUAUCUCGAACGAAAAUCUGCCUUAGGAAUGUCACUGUUCUCUAAUCCUCAACAAGUCAUAACCUGAAUGUAAUUCAAUCUUAAAGAACACGGACUUAUUGCAGUUGAUCAAACAAAUCCUCAUUCAUUGGUAAAAGAUAUUUAUUCUUAACCGACACCUUAUUCAACUUUCUACAAUCAAAACAUAAGUGCAUCGACCCAUCUUUCUUCUUAAUAAACAAAAAUUGGUGCACCCCAAGAUAACAUACUUCGUCGAAUGUAGUCCUUGUCAAACAUUUCUUUCAAUUGCACCUUCAAAUCUUUCAACUCUGUUGGGCCAUUUUGUAUGAAGCUUUAGAUAUAGGAACGAGUCUAACUCUAUCUCAAUAGCAAGACCAAUUUCUGUUUAGCGGUAAUCUUAGAAACUCUUCUAGAAAAAUAUCAUAAUACUUUUUCACCACUGAUUCAAAUAACAAAGAAACAUCGACUUCUCUGGUGUCUACCACACUAGUCAAAUACAACAGGUACCCUGGUCAAGCAACUUACUAACCUUCAUAGCUGGGAUAACUUUUAGCGAAACGAUAGUUCCAACCUCUUUGUACUUGAAACUAGCCUCUGGAGAAGGAUUAGAAACUACAUUUUCGCUGAACAUUUUAUGUUUACAUGGUUAAACUACAUUCCAAUUUUCAAACUCCAAACUAGUAACUUUUCAUUCACGAGAAACUCAAAAUUGUUUCUUAAAGUCACAUCAAGACAACCAUGCUCAUCUUCCUUGUUUCUUUUCCAAUACCUCCAUUCUAAAACCAUUUAAUGUGUUUCGUAUAAACUUGACCGUGUAUUUAGUCCUCGUUAAAACCACCUACAUAACUUAUUUUUCUUAGAUUUCCAAUCACAAAACAGACAAUUUCGCUAACAACGUCUUACUUUUCUACUACUCGACCACUCCUUUGAACACCUCUACAUGGCAACAUUUUUCCUAAAUUUCACCAUUAAAUCCUUCACCAUUAAAUCAUAACAUUCAUGUAAUUCUAGUUUAACUUAGGCAAGGUCAUAUACAUAAACCAUACAUAUAAGCAUAAAGCAUACCUGACGAGAGACGAAGGGUCGCGUUAGCCAUAGGGACACAAAAACAUAGACUUACAUCGUAAGUCAGUCUACAGAACCUAAAACUUAGGCUCUGAUACCAACUGUAACGACCCAACUUUUCUGGUAAGUCGAGGUCGUUAAUUUUUAACAAAAACUUUGAUUGAUACAAAUUGAAAAUAGUCAAUUUAAAAAAAAACAUGUCAGGCCUGAUUUUCAAAUAUUCAAGAAAACUUAACAAUAACACUAUUUACAAAUAAAAGUUUGUAAACUAAGUUUUAGUACAUCUUAAACCUUAAAAGAAAUCAUAAGCGGAAGCAAAAUAACACAUUCCUAUGGCAAUCACGCUUCCUUCCUGCCCCUCGCCGGUUUGCCACCUUUAUUUCCUUUGCCUGAAAAUUAAACAUAAGAAGGGUGAGUAUAACAAUACUCAGUAAGAGACCCUCUACUGGUCUCGUCAGGGGAAAAUAAAUUGUUAAAGUUCUAUUGGGACACCCUGUACAGUCGCAGUCUUGUGAUCCCGUAGGAUACACAUUUCAGUCUAACGCCCCGAAGGACGUACAUAUCAGUCUAACGCCCCGAGGGACGUACAUAUCAGUCUAGUGUUCUGCAGAAACACAUAUCAGUCAAAUGCUCCCGAAGGUGCACAAUAAAUUGGUGAUCCCGUGGGACACCUACAAGGUAAACAUCCCAAUACAACCUAACAAUUUAUCCCCUCAUUCCAUUCAACCCAUCUUUCAGUUACUUCAAAUCACAAAGUCCUUUCUUUCAACAUCCUAACAGUCAACUUAUUUUACUACAAUCAUGUCUGUCAAUAAUACUAAUACAUCAGUCAAUCCACUAUACAGUCAAGUCAAUACACCCCUCAGUUCACCAGCACAAACCACAAUUCAGUAUAAUCCACAUCCAACCGAAACAAAUUCACUAGUUCACAUCCAAUCUUUAUACAGCACAAUCUAUUAAUAUCAUCAUGUACACAUAAGCAUAAUUUCAGUCAUUCACAUGUAUACUUUCGGCAAUCCACAUCAAUGUAUAUAUAUAUGUUUCCAGUCAAAUACAACAUACACUAACAUUUAGUCUGCAAUCAAACAUGUACAUCUUAAUCAUCAUCCAUACAGUCCAACACAACUCAAAAACUUUAGGUGAGUCCAGUAGAAAGUCCCUUACCUCGAAUUUACGUAAAGUUCUUCAAUCGUACUAAAUCCAAUAAAUUAAAUUCCAAGUAGAAUGAGGCAACAAUUCCAAUGAAGUUCACUUCGAAACUUAAAUAUCCAAGCACAGCUCUCCAAUAUCACCUUAAAAUCAAGCAAUACCCAAAUCAAUUAAUCAAUUUCAAAACUUACGCUAGCCCAGAACAAUACUACUAAAUCCACAAUUCCUCCUUACCAAUGAAAUCACAACAUAGCUUUGACGAUUGACGACAGAACAGAAUCAGCGACAAUCGAAUGAAACUGAUGCGUGCAAAACAGAUAUGCACUACAAUAAAGAUGGACGUCGGACCCGCGACUGGAAAACGAGGAGUUGCGCAAUAGAUGAGGACUUCACGAUGCACAACUGUUGGAUGCUACACGGCUCGUAUCUGAACGAUAAGCGUCGGCAAAACAAUUGGGACGGGGCUACGGUGGGGACCCGGCGUUGCAGAUCUGGACAACGGCGCGGAGAGACACGGCGGUUACAGGUUCACGCGGCGGCCUUGACUUCGACGGAGACAGAACCGGCUGAGACGGUUGGGCAGUGGCGGAAGAGCAACGGCGCCGCAGAUCUGGACUGGCAGCGGCGCGGUCUUGCUUCGCGGCGGGGCUGCAGACGGAAGAAGAAAAUGGAAGGAAAGGAUCGGCGGCUGGCUGCGGUUGGCUGCGGCGAACGGAGAGAAGGGGAAGGUGGGGGGAGUCACGAUCGCACGGGGAGAAGAAGGGAGAAAAGAAAAGAAAAAGAAAAAAAAAAAAGAAAAAUAAUAAAGAAAUUUUUAAUAUUAAGUAAAAAUAAAAUAUAUAUAUAUAUAUAUAUAUAUAUAUAUAUAUAUAUAUAUAUAUAUAUAUAUAUAUAUUUACCUUUUCUUUGGGCAUUACAGAUACUCCUAACCAAUUUGAAUAGAAAAGCUAACCAAAUUGUCCUAUGCGUCAAAUUAAUGCAAAUUAAAUCGAUGAAAUGUAUACAACGUCCAAUAUUUUGCCGUAAUUGCAUUACAAUAAGCGCUAAGUUAGGUUGAAAGCCUAUUUUUCAUGCGGCUAAUUAAACAUUCAUCAAGUUCAAUAUUGUAAGUCGAUUGGAAAAAUACAAGAUCUAAGAGAUUUUUUCAAGCUAACCUAACUUAUUUCUUCUAACUGAAUUACAUACAACUUACCAAAAAAUUGCACAUGAUAAAAAAGCGUUCACCAUAACGCUUUCAUUCAUCUGACAAUACGAACAUGAUAAUUAAAAACAAAAUUUAAACUAUCGAUGUAUUAAACUCAAUUCAAAUCUCACAAAUGCAUGGAUUAAAGGGAUACUACAAACUCAAGAUAAUAAAAGAGUACCUAGUUAUUGAUUGAUUAUGGUUGUUGAUCGAUUUGUUUGUAGAUGGUAAAUUUGUUGGAUAAUAUAAAACAUAAAGUAAAAAAAAAAAUCGUAAACUCAUCUAACCUCUCAAUCUCUCUAAUCUCUUUCAAAAUCUCUUUCAAAAUCUCUCUCUCAAUCUAUCUUGUCAUUCCAUAGAAUAUUUAGCUAAUCUUGAUCAAGUUCUCACGCAAUUCAAUAAGUUUACUUUUUAGUUUUUUGUUAUUUUUUUCUCCAAAUUCUGUUAUGUAUAGUUUUUUUUUUUAUAUCCUCCUCUCUUGGUGUAAUAUUUAAAUCUUAAAUGUAUAAACCCAGUUAUCUAAUUUUUAAUUGUUUCAAAUUGAUUUGGAGUUGUUUAAAACUUAAUUAUUAGCAAGUUUGUUUCUUACUUUUUUUCAUCUCGGAAACAUCUCGCAGACAUUCGCAGAUUCUUAAGUUCAAAUGUUUAAUCUCAAAUGAAUAAUAUACUUGUGCUUAUGUGAUUUAGGAUGCUUUUAUACAUGUUUAGGAAAUUUUAGUUAUUGUUUAGGAAAUUUUUUUUGCUUGCAAACAUCUCGCAACCUCCAAACUUUAAAUCACUACUACAAAAUUAGCCUUACUUGAAACCUUUUACCUAUCAAGUAUUUGUUUACUUGAUGUUUUAAAUGCGUCAAGUAAUCUAGUGCAAGAAUAAGAGUUUUUUUCUUUACAAUUUUUAAGCGUCAAGAUAAAAUGUGCUUGACACUUUAUUAACGUCAAGUAUAUAUGAGAUUAGUUGACAAUUUUACGUAUCAAGAAUUUGUUUAUUCUUCCAUGUGUUAUUUGUCAAGAAUAUUUAAUUCUUGACACAUUUUUUUUGUGAUGUAAGUUUUUCUUUUUCAAAUGAAAAUUGUACAAUUUAAAACACUCAUAUAAUUAGUGCACCUGUUUUGAAAUUCAUAUUAGUUAUUGAACAAUUGAAUCAACCCAAAUUCUCCAUCAAAGAACUAACUUGUUUUGAAGUUUAUAUAAUUAUUGCACAUACUUUUGAGUCCAUAUUAGGUUGUCAUUGCAUAUUGUUCAAUAUACAUAUAGUUGGUCACAACGUACUUACAACAUCCCAAGUUUCUACCAUAUGAAGAAAUUGUUCUACCUAGCUCUACGUUUAAUCUGAACAAAAUAUAUCAAUCAAUGACUGUACACACCUAGGCUUGAGUCUGAGUUUCUCGAUCAAAAGUGGACUUGUUGGGUGAAGUACAACUUUCUGGACGUAGUAAAAACCUCGGCAAUCUGCCAAUGAAAUAAUACAAUGUUGAGACACGUGGUUGUUGUCUUAAGAGUGCACUAAGCAAAAAUGAGAAGUGAAAAUGUACAUCUAGAUAAAAUGACAACAUUUUCAUAUAAACACGAAAACUACUCAGCAAUGAACUUAAGUGAACCAAUAAAUGAAAUUGGAUGUGUGAAACUAGAAAACAACCAGAAUAUCAAGUGAUAUUAAAUGAAAAUAAAUUAAAAAGACAAAAUUUUAAUCCAUAAAUUUUGUUAAGGAUCCCGUACAUAUUUAAAAUAUCAACCAAAACUCACAAAUUUCACACCUUCAUUUUUUCCUAAAACUGUUUUUUUUUUUUUUUUUACUGUAUGUUUUAUAUGGCUUUCUUUUUUCCUUUUUAAGUUGUAUUAAUUUAGGGCCUCUAAAUAAAAAUAUAUUUUGUUUUAUACUUGACGUUAAAAAAAUAUGAACUAAAAGUGAAUAUUACUCUUGAUAUUUUUAACAUGUCAAGUAAAUAUUAACCACACUUGAUAUUUAAUAUUUAUGAAAUGUCAUGUAAUAGUUAGCAUAAAAAAGUUUAGAAAUGUAUCCGUGAAAUCUCUACUUCUUUUAACGAGUUGUUGGACAUUUUUUUCUUUAAAAUGUUGGUAAAAUAUGGCUUUGUACUUGGAAUAUUUAGAAAGGAACAUCACGAAAUUAGAAGUUUCAUAUUAUUUAAGCCAAAAUACGUACAAAUACAUAUGUAAAACCGAGUUUAAAAAAUCAACCAAUAUUUUGAAAUAGUAAAACUUUCCAAACUAAACUUUGACAUUUAAUUCAUAUAACGUAUGGAAGUUGUUAAAAUCAUUACUAUUUUUCCCAAAUGAAAACAAAUUCAUGCAUGGUGUUUAGUUUAGUUAUAGAAAUCUUUACUAUUUUUACAUAAAUGAAACAGAUUAAUGCAUGGUUGCAAUUUAAUUUAGCUUUUACGACCUUAUUUGAAUAGGAUCUGUUCUAUAGGUUGUACAUUGUGUCCUUGAGUUUAAAGAGAUUUAAUGCAACUUUUAGUAUUUAAACCAUUGAAAAUCAUAGAAUUUCUAUCACCCUAACUCUUAACAAAACAAUAGUUUGGAAAUUUGCAUAUCUUAAGAAUAUGACUUCUUCCCGUAUCAUCUGCUUUGCUCUUAUUUUUGCAGGUUCUUUUUCUCUAAUUUCCUCCACAAAUACUAUAUUACCAUGUGUUACAAAAUCAAUUAACCAUUACAACAUAUUAGAUUGCUAAUUUGUCUACCUGUAUAUUUACCUUUUUAUGUUUUUUUAUAUAGUUGCAUUGAUGUUGGUGCUUCAAGACGUCUCAGCUGCCCAAAGAUGUCAAGACGUUUUGUAUAAUACUGGGUGCGAUCUCAAUGACUGUGGAAAGAAAUGUUGGGAGAAGCAUCAUACUGUUUCACAUCAAUGCAUUCCAACUAAUCCUUCUCAAACCAUCUAUGCUUGUUAUUGUUUCUUUGAUUGCGGUGGUCAAAAGAAUUGAUCUGCAUGCUCACAUCUUCUCAAUUUUAUGUAAUGUACUUAGUCACUUAAACUUCUAAAUAAUAUCACACAUCUUUCCUAAUCUUCAACUGUGUUACAACAAUUUGAUGUCUUGAAUACAAGAUUCCAUGAGCUAAAAUUCUUGUAACAAAUAAGUAUAUUUUUCAUGGAUUACCUUUCCUACGACAUAUUUCAAAAUUUACGACUUUGUAUCAAGUACCCUAAUAUUAGGGUUCAAAAUUAAUUAAAGAAUGAAACCAACUAUAAAUCUUUCACGACCAUAUUGUUUUUAAGUAUCUUCAAUGAAAACUAACUUUUUCUAAAAUAACCUAUAAUGGCGCAUAAGAACAAAACAUUUAUACAAAAAUGAUAAUAAAAUUUGUAGUCCCCACAAAACCAUCUUCAAAUAAAAUAAAGUUUGUAAUUCAUCGAACUCAAGAACUAUUAUAAUUACUACUAAAAUACACGAAAAUUAAAGAAAAAAAAAUAGCCUACUGUCGAUUAUUGAAAGAGUGGUUGGAGGUUAAAGGUGUGUGUGAGGACUGGAUGCUAUGUCACUUGAUGAAUAGAUCCAAACGUGGCGAAUGAACAACGGAACAAAAGAAUAACAGAUCUUGCAUGAUGAGCGAACAACAGAAGGCAGAUUUGCAUGCUCUGAGCGUGAUGGAUGGGUAGCUUUAGGCGUUCGAGUAGUGGGGGUUUCAUGGAGACUUGCUUUGUUCAUGAAAGUGCAGUGAGAUGGAGUUAUUUGGGAAAUAUACACCCUCUCCCCCCAGUGACACACACACAUUCUUAUUUCAAACUCCACAAACGUAAAUAUAUUAAUGCAUUUACUAAAGUCAAUUUAUAAGUAUCCACACUCAAUUUAAGAAAAUGGAAAAUAUGCUUUCAGCAAUAUCCUCCCCUCACACACCAUCAAUCUAUACCAUGCUUUAAACAAAUCUAAGAAUAUAAAUAAUAAAAUGGCUCCAACAAUACACCAACAGUAAACACAACUCAUUGUCGAGUAUCCCACAAACUCUUAAUACGACACAAAUGGACAGUAUGGAACGCAUAGCGAAACAUCUAAACUACUAUUAGUAAAAUAAACAUUUUAUACUCAGCCUCAAAUAUGGCUACCAAAUAGUACCAUACCCAUCAACAACAACAUCCCAGUGCAAUAUUCAAGCUCAAAUACCAUUUCAAUACACCAUGUAAUUGACUUAAACAUUUUAAGGCUUCUUGAAAAUUGAAUUUAUAAACUUCAAUAACAAUGCUAAACUCUUUAGUAAGUAAUUAUAUUAAGUUGAAAAUUUGCAACAAUCUCAAAUAAUUGUCACUCUUGCAUUUCAUGAGAAUUAUUGAUGCGCCAGCUAUGUUUCAUAAAUGUUAAUGAUAAUAUAAAAGAAGAAAAAGUUUUGAAUGAAACAUAAACAAUAAAGUUUUAUAAAAAAAUGGCAACCAAUCACUCUUCAUAGGUGCUUAUCACCCGACUGAAAUAACAACUAGUUCAAAAAUACUUAUUGCAAAAGAGGUUUGAGAGCAAAGAAUGAAAAAAAGUAAACUAAAUCUUAACCAAAAGAGUUUGGGUCUUUGUUGAAAUGAGCGUGAAACUAGUCUAGACCUAAAAUCUAUAGUUUAAAUGGUAAAAAACCAAAAGCAGACCAAGUUACUUAAACUCGGGUCUUUGGUUGGAGACGAAGUCUAUUUUCAUGUAAUUACGGGUUUGCUAAGUGUCUAUAAAACUUAUGUUUAAGUUUGUCAGUGAAUGGGUUGCAUUGCAACUUUGUCUAUCAGUUAUGUUAUUGGCUUCCGUUUGCGUUUUUGUUAAAGGUUAGUAGUUAAGGGUCAGCCGGUGUCGUUCAAAAGGGGGGCUAUAUCUGUUCACUUCACGUUGUCUAUUGGAUCAAGAGAAGGUUAUCCAAGAGAGAGUGUGACACUAUGAGGCCUUAAUCACAGCCUGCCGCAUGCGAAAAGACUUUAUACGAAGUGACGACCUAUGCUAUAAGAACUACUACAUGGUGAAGAGUGACUUCACAGAGUGCGUUGAUGUGUUUUGAGCCUAAGUCAUCGAGAACUAGUGAUAUUCAUUUUCACGUAUGGAAGUUGGCGAUUGAUUUGACCUCGAUGUCCAAUCCAAAUCCAGAAUAAGGAAAUGACAGAGACACGUGGCAUCCUAACAUUAGAUUGGACCAAUUCCCGCCGUCUUCAGAAGUAAUCAUUCUAACAUAGGAAACUUCACCGAAAAAGUCUAUGAAUAGGUCAAUUUUGAUCCUUUUGAAGCUACUUUUACCCUGAGCUUACUUAAGAAAAAAUAGAGAGAACUUCCAAAGUUUUUCGGAGAUCUUAAACAAGCUUGAACUCAGUUUGAAAGUGCAAGGGAGCUUGUGGGUAGCAACUAGUUAUUGUGACUGUGUGAGUGGUUCUUCUUAUGCAAUGUUUUCUAAUUAAAAUCAAAAUGAUUUUUAAAAUGUGUUUAAAUCCUUAUUUGAUUUAUACUUAAACUAUGAACAACAUGGUUUCUCUUGUACUUUAUACGACCAAGUGAUAAAUAAAGACAAAAUUAAAACUAUCGGUGUAUUUAACUCAAUUCAAAUCUCACAAAUGCAUGGAUUAAAGAGAGAUACUACAAACUCAAGCUAAGAAAAGAGUACCUAGUUAUUGGUUGAUUAUGGUAUGUUGAUUAAUUUGUUUGUAGAUCGUAAAUUUGUUGCAUAAUAAUCUGUAAUAAGAGAAGUAUAAAAUUUGUGAGAUUGGUUGAUAUUUUAAAUAUGUACAGGAUCCUUAACAAAAUUUAAGGAUUAAGAGUUUGUGUUUUUAAUUUAUUUUCAUUUAAUAUCACUCAGACUGUUCUGACACGUUGUUUUCUAGUUUCACAUCCAAUUUCUUUUAUUGGUUGACUUAAGUUCAUCGCUGAAUAGUUUUUCUUGUGUGUAUAUGAAAAUGUUGCCAUUUAUACCUUUAUUUGAGCGUGGUCCUAAUAUAUUGACUUGAUGGACAGCUAAAACCUUUAAAAUUCCAUAACUCUUUCUUUGGGUGGUAUUGUUAUGGACUUUAUGGAUAACUGUAAAAUCUUCAUAGCGCAGUUUUUGAGUGGUUUGUCUCUAACGAACUUGACGAAGUUGAUCAUAGUGUGGACUACAUGUGAAGUCUUCCUAGCUUAGUGUUUGAGUGUCUAUUGCAAUAAACUUUAUGAAGCCAUACACAUAAAUGUGAAGGUGUGGUUGCCUUCCUUGAAAGAAUUUAAGGUCUUUCUUUCUAGAUCUUUCAUAGUGACCUACAGUUUAUGUGCAUGACCUUAAAUAGCACGUGGUUUACAAUUGUACCACAUAAUGUAGACAAACACAAGACAUGAAACGUGUUGUCCUACUUCACUAUGCAUGGAUCCAAAUUGAAAGAUAUUGAUGUUUAAUUUUAUACUCUUUUUUAUAAGAGAAAUUGUUUAUUAAUGUUUUCAUUCAAAUGUCAGUCAUUCAGGGGGAUUGUUGGGCAUGACUUUACUUUACAAUGAUUUGUUCGAUUGUUGUGACGGUUGUAAUGUUAGAAAUCUAAUUAAAUUUUGUUUUCAUGGAUACAAAUCUGGUAACCAUUAAAUCGUGGUAAGUAUAAUAUUUUAAAAUCGCUCAAAAUUACAUAUUUAAAAUUAAUUAUAGAUCUAAAAGUAUUUAUUUCAAUUUUCUUCCAAAUAUUCUUUAUCUUUUAAAGAAAAUUAAGAGAUAUAUUUUUCUCAGUUUCCCAUACUUUUUAUUUUCUUUAAGCAAAAGGUUUUUCUUUGAUUCGAACUCUUUUCGAAUGAGUGCUCGUUUGUUAAGAACGUUGUCAUAAACUUUGGGGAGCAACUGGCGUGAGAUUAUUAGCACCGAGAGAUUGAUUAUAUUUUUCAGUUUCUUGGAUUUUGGUUGCACUCCUACAAUUUAGUAUUAAUUUACCCAACACGUAAAGUGUUUUCUACUUCAAAAAUAAAAUUUACCACUAUUUAGUUCCUUUCAUACAUGUUUUUCUAAAAAAUGCAAAGUUGACAUCAGUUAUUUUAAAUGCCAUAACAACCUCAAGAACCGUAAACGUCCCACCCUACAACAGUAAUAAAAAGGUUAUGGGUCAUUGAUUAACCAGAAAGGUAGAAUUAUUGUUAUAACAAGAGGGAUAUUAAAGUAUGUUACAUGAUAACAAUUUGAAAUGGAGAGGUAAUAUAUGGGUACGUACGUAACAUAAAUGGAGAGAUAAUAUAUGGUUACAUGAAUAUUAGCAUGAAACAACCACAACUAACUACUUUUUUCUGUUUAUUUCAAUAAAACCAUAUAUGUUAAUAAUGGAAAUCUAUUUGUUUUUAUUUUUCAUUUUUAGUACACAGCUUCAAGUUUAGUCCUAAAAUGUCGUAUGAAAUUUUAUGAAUCCUUAUCUUUCUUUUCUUAACGAUGGAAUCUCAAUGAAUUAAUAAAUAUUCUGGUCCUACGUACAUUUGUAUUUAAACCAUAUCAAACCUCCAUGUUUUUGCAAUUCACUCAACAAAAUCAAGCUUGCACUCGCACCAAAAAGAUGGCAAACCUUUCUUCUUUCCGUGUCGCCAUCAUUAUAGUUAUCUUUGCAGGUUCUCUUCUACAUAUGAAUUGAAUUAUAUAUUUUUAUAUGAGUAAGCUAAGUUAUUAUGAAGAUAUAUUCAUUGACAUGCAUAAUGGUUGAUUAUUUUAUUUACUCAUGUGAUCGUGCAGUUUCAAUGAUUUUGGUACCUCAAGGAACCUCAGCUACGAAAUGUCAAGAUAGAUUGUAUGUUGGGGGGUGCAUACAACAUGAAUGUGCGCAAAAAUGUAGUCAGCUACACCAUGGUGGCACAGCUAAAUGCAUAUCUGUUGAUCCUACGUUUACCAAGUAUGCUUGUUAUUGCUUCUAUAAUUGUCCUGAAAAUUGAAUUUUCAGAUGUCUCUCUCUAUUAUUCAUCGUUUUGGACACAUAUAUUUCAAAUAAUGUUAUAAAAAAAAACGUUCUAUCCAAAGUUAUUUGCCCCACAUGAAUGCACUUUUCUCUUAAUUAAUGUUAUCUACAUACAACACAUAAAAUGUUUUGUUGUGAUCAUGACUUCACAUAUAUUUGAAUCUUUACGUUGCUACCAACAUAGUUUGUGGGUGAUGCUGUAAACACUCCAACUUUUAAUAAAUGACUUAUUGUGUAAAGUUAAAACAUUUGAAAAUUUAUUUCAAACGCACCCUUUAUUGAAUAAGCUAAAAGAAUAAUAGUCCUUCAAACUAUAUCUAAAUAAAAUUAAGUGAGCUUUUGUAUGGAUUCAAAGUGAAAAAAUAAUAGUAACAAAAGGAUGACAAAGUACACAAUGUUGAUUUUGCUAACUAUAUCGAUUAGUGUGAUGAGCGUGAUAGAUAUAGAUAAUUGUAAGACUAUUGAUCAAAAGAAAUAUAUAAAACUUCAACUUAUAAAAAUUUAUUUCUACAAAAGGCCGGUAGUGAAAGUUGUAAGAUCGAGUGUCAAUCCAAGCGGAAUCCAUGCAAAGUUUCUUAGAAUUGUAAAAUGCAAAAGUAAAGCAAUAAUUACUUCUUUUUUUUUUAUAUAUGAUAAUACAAACUGUUAAAGAUUCUAUCAAUCAAAAGACCUUAUUAAAUAAGUGAAGUAAUGAUUUUAUAGAUAAAAUCAGUUCAACAGUUUGAACCUCAUAACCAUAUAUAAGAAAAUGCGGGUGCAGUGUGUAGCAUUUGGGUACCGGGAGCUUGCUUGUCUUAAUUAAAGGUUGAAACAUAAUAAUUUCAUUUACAUUUCAUAAUAAUUAAAGGUCUUGAGAGGUUGCUCGCCUUAAAUUGAAGUUAAAAUAUGAGAUAUGUAUCGAUUCAAAUAAACUGUGAACCUUUUCAGUUCGCAUCACUCUCUAUAUAAACUUUUAUGUUGCUUUUUUGUAUGUUUGUACUAAGUUAAAGUUAGGUUCAACAUCAUCCACGCUCAUCCACUUCCAUGUCAUCCAUUGCAUUCCACUCCUGAUGUCACCUAAGUCUAGAUCAAUCAUUUUAACCGAAUUACACAUCAAUUAGAGCUAGCUAGUCCUAGUGGCAAGUCCUAGUCGAACGCAAGGAGCACGUAAAUUUCUCUAGCACAUUAGUUUCAACCCAAGGUAACAAAAGGAAGGGGUCGAUUGAACAAUUAAAAAUAAAAUUUGAAAAGAUAAAUAAAUUAAAAGUGUAAAUCAAUUUAAGAAAACUUAGCAUGGGUUUUGUAGAUCUCCCGAAUCAUUGUAUUUGAACUUUGAAUUCUCAUUAUUGAAUUUAACAAUUGAUACUGUAACGACCCAACUUUUCUGGGUAAGUCGAGGUCGUUAAUUUUUAAAAUUAAACUUUGAUUGAUACAAAUUGAAACAUAUGUCAAUUUAAAAACAAAACAUGUCAGGCCUGAUUUUCAAAUAUUCAAGAAAACUUAACAAUAACACUAUUUACAAAUAAAAGUUUGUAAACUAAGUUUUAGUACAUCUUAAACCUUAAAAGAAAUCAUAAGCGGAAGCAAAAUAACACAUUCCCUAUGGCAAUCACGCUUCCUUCCUGCCCCUCGCCGGUUUGCCACCUUUAUUUCCUUGCCUGACAAUUAAACAUAAGAAGGGUGAGUAUAACAAUACUCAGUAAGAGACCCUCUACUGGUCUCGUCAGGGGAAAAUAAAUUGUUAAAGUUCUAUUGGGACACCCUGUACAGUCCAGUCUUGUGAUCCCGUAGGAUACACAUUUCAGUCUAACGCCCCGAAGGACGUACAUAUCAGUCUAACGCCCCGAGGGACGUACAUAUCAGUCUAACCCCGAGGGACGUACAUAUCAGUCUAGUGUUCUGCAGAAACACAUAUCAGUCAAAUGCUCCCGAAGGUGCACAAUAAAUUGGUGAUCCCGUGGGACACCUACAAGGUAAACAUCCCAAUACAACCUAACAAUUUAUCCCUCAUUCCAUUCAACCCAUCUUUCAGUUACUUCAAAUCACAAAGUCCUUUCUUUCAACAUCCUAACAGUCAACUUAUUUUACUACAAUCAUCUGUCUGUCAAUAAUACUAAUACAUCAGUCAAUCCACUAUACAGUCAAGUCAAUACACCCCUCAGUUCACCAGCACAAACCACAAUUCAGUAUAAUCCACAUCCAACCGAAACAAAUUCACUAGUUCACAUCCAAUCUUUAUACAGCACAAUCUAUUAAUAUCAUCAUGUACACAUAAGCAUAAUUUCAGUCAUUCACAUGUAUACUUUCGGCAAUCCACAUCAAUGUAUAUAUAUAUGUUUCCAGUCAAAUACAACAUACACUAACAUUUAGUCUGCAAUCAAACAUGUACAUCUUAAUCAUCGUCCAUACAGUCCAACACAACUCAAAACUUUAGGUGAGUCCAGUAGAAAGUCCCUUACCUCGAGUUUACGUAAAGUUCUUCAAUCGUACUAAAUCCAAUAAAUUAAAUUCCAAGUAGAAUGAGGCAACAAUUCCAAUGAAGUUCACUUCGAAACUUAAAUAUCCAAGCACAGCUCUCCAAUAUCACCUUAAAAUCAAGCAAUACCCAAAUCAAUUAAUCAAUUUCAAAACUUACGCUAGCCCAGAACAAUACUACUAAAUCCACAAUUCCUCCUUACCAAUGAAAUCACAACAUAGCUUUGACGAUUGACGACAGAACAGAAUCAGCGACAAUCGAAUGAAACUGAUGCGUGCAAAACAGAUAUGCACUACAAUAAAGAUGGACGUCGGACCCGCGAUUGGAAAACGAGGAGUUGCGCAAUAGAUGAGGACUUCACGAUGCACAACUGUUGGAUGCUACACGGCUCGUAUCUGAACGAUAAGCGUCGGCAAAACAAUUGGGACGGGCUACCGGUGGGGACCCGGCGUUGCAGAUCUGGACAACGGCGCGGAGAGACACGGCGGUUACAGGUUCACGCGGCGGCCUUGGCUUCGACGGAGACAGAACCGGCUGAGACGGUUGGGCAGUGGCGGAAGAGCAACGGCGCCGCAGAUCUGGACUGGCAGCGGCGCGGUCUUGCUUCGGCGGGGCUGCAGACGGAAGAAGAAAAUGGAAGGAAAGGAUCGGCGGCUGGCUGCGGUUGGCUGCGGCGAACGGAGAGAAGGGGAAGGUGGGUGGGAGUCACGAUCGCACGGGGAAGAAGAAGGGAGAAAAGAAAAGAAAAAGAAAAAAAAAAAGAAAAAUAAUAAAGAAAUUUUUAAUAUUAAAGUAAAAAUAAAAUAUAUAUAUAUAUAUAUAUUACCUUUUCUUUGGGCAUUACAUUCUUCCCUCCUUAAGAAACUUUCGUCCUCGAAAGUUUAAUCCUGAAAUAACUCUGGAUAACGAGUCCUCAUUCUUCCUCUCGCUCCCAUGUCGCCUCUUCCAUUCGAUGAUUCCGCCACAAAACUUUUACUAAUGGAAUGCUUCUAUUACGAAGCAUCUUUACCUCUCUAGCCAGAAUUUCCACAGGUUGUUCUACGUAGCUCAAAUGCUCAUCAAUCUCCAAGGGUUCAUAGUCCACUACAUGAGAUGUAUCGGCCACAUACUUCCUCAACAUCGAAACAUGGAAAACAUUAUGAACUGCAGAGAGUGAUGGUGGUAAUGCCAAGCGAUACGCCACAACACCAACCCUCUCUAAGAUCUCAAAUGGUCCAACAAAACGAGGACUUAACUUCCCUUUCUUCUCAAAACGCAUAACACCCUUCAUAGGUGCUACCUUCAAGAAUACCUUUUCUCCCACAUCGAACUUAAGGUCUUUUCGCCGUACAUCUGCAUAACUCUUCUGUCUACUCUGCG
rnacentral:lncRNA from 1 species